GAUGAAGAACGUAGCGAAAUGCGAUAAGUAGUGUGAAUUGCAGAAUUCAGUGAAUAAUCGAAUCUUUGAACGCACAUUGCGCCCCUUGGUAUUCCAUGGGGCAUGCCUGUUCGAGCGUCAUUUGUACCUUCAAGCUUUGCUUGGUGUUGGGUGUUUGUCCCGAGGGACUCGCCUUAAAGUAAUUGGCAGCCAGUGUUUGGUUUUGAAGCGCAGCACAAGUCGCGAUUCAAGGCUACACGCCCGCUUCCACAAGCCUUUUUUCACUUUUGACCUCGGAUCAGGUAGGGAUACCCGCUGAACUUAAGCAUAUCAAUAAGCGGGGGA
rnacentral:misc_RNA from 1 species